GACGAACGCUGGCGGCGUGCUUAACACAUGCAAGUCGAACGGAAAGGCCCUGCUUUUGUGGGGUGCUCGAGUGGCGAACGGGUGAGUAACACGUGAGUAACCUGCCCUUGACUUUGGGAUAACUUCAGGAAACUGGGGCUAAUAUCGGAUAGGAGCUCCUGCUGCAUGGUGGGGGUUGGAAAUUUUCGGCGGUUGGGGAUGGACUCGCGGCUUAUCAGCUUGUUGGUGGGGUAGUGACUUACCAAGGCUUUGACGGGUAGCCGGCCUGAGAGGGUGACCGGCCACAUUGGGACUGAGAUACGGACCAGACUCCUACGGGAGGCAGCAGUGGGGAAUAUUGCACAAUGGGCGGAAGCCUGAUGCAGCAACGCCGCGUGCGGGAUGACGGCCUUCGGGUUGUAAACCGCUUUCGCCUGUGACGAAGCGUGAGUGACGGUAAUGGGUAAAGAAGCACCGGCUAACUACGUG
rnacentral:rRNA from 1 species